CUACGAGUUUGAUCAUGGCUCAGAUUGAACGCUGGCGGCAUGCCUUACACAUGCAAGUCGAACGGCAGCGACGGGGGCAACCCUGGUGGCGAGUGGCGAACGGGUGAGUAACAUAUCGGAACGUGCCCAAUCGUGGGGGAUAACGUAGCGAAAGUUACGCUAAUACCGCAUAAGCCCUGAGGGGGAAAGUGGGGGGACCGCAAGGCCUCACGCGAAUGGAGCGGCCGAUGUCAGAUUAGCUAGUUGGUGGGGUAAAGGCCCACCAAGGCGACGAUCUGUAGCGGGUCUGAGAGGAUGAUCCGCCACACUGGGACUGAGACACGGCCCAGACUCCUACGGGAGGCAGCAGUGGGGAAUAUUGGACAAUGGGCGAAAGCCUGAUCCAGCCAUGCCGCGUGCGGGAUGAAGGCCUUCGGGUUGUAAACCGCUUUUGGCAGGAACGAAACGGUGCGGGCUAAUACCUCGCGCUAAUGACGGUACCUGCAGAAUAAGCACCGGCUAACUACGUG
rnacentral:rRNA from 1 species